AGAAACUUAGGCUAAACCAGACCAAGAGCCUUCAAAGCCCUAAGCAAAAGUUAAAAUCUUUUAGUUUCUG
rnacentral:tRNA from 1 species